AGCUGUGAAGAAAGAAAGAUUACAUUCAUCAAAGUACAAUUUAUCCUUAACAUUAAAAGUAAAACUUAAUUGAGGAAAAGAAUAACAAUUAAGUGUUGAUUUUUACACCAAUGCAGGAUGCAUUAGGAACUCUAUUUUUGAAUAUACAUUGAAAUACACAUUUGGUUCCCUGGCCUUUAGAGACCCUGAUUUUCACUGAAAGCCAGGCUGCUCACUAAUCUCAGGUGCCCUGUUUGUGUCUUAGCAAUGGAGAGGAAAGAAAAUGGUUGUGGCUGACUGGCAUUCUCUGCAAGCCCACUGAGGCUAUGAAGAAGUUAGAAAUUAUUUGGCCAACUUGGAGCCCUGAUAGAUCCCAGCAGCUGAGGCUACUGUACUUUGGUCACAUCAUGAAUGACUUACUAAAAAAGACAUUAAUGCUUGGAAAAGUGGAGUGCAGUAGAAAGAAAGAUCACACUCCAGAUGUCUAGACUAAUCAAGGAGGUCAUGGGCCUGAAUCUGCAGGACCUAGGUAGAGCAACUGAGGAUAGCGGGGGUUGGAGAUGUCUCAUCCACAAGAUUUCCAUGAAUCAGGGCCGACUUGAGGGAGGUUAACAACAGCAACAAACAACAUAUACAUAAAGAAUGAAUUCAGACAUGGCAUUUCUGGUGGCAGCAAAGGAUAAAGACUGUUGGUUUUCAGUGGGAAUGGAAGUUACAAAAUAUUCAACACAGGAACCUUGAAGGCAUCUAGUAGGUUCCUCACAGUGGUGGCCACAGCAGUGGGGCAGGGGGAGGACCUUACAUUGGUGGUAGAAGUGGGGAUAGAGGGAAGCCCUCACUCUUGGUCACAGCAGUGAGAUUAGUGGAAGUAUUCAUGGCAGUGGUGAUUAAGGCAGAACCUUACAUCUGGUGGGAAAAGAAGCAGGAGCAUCACAAAAUAUGGCCCGGUACAGACAGGCAGUUUGCGGCAUCCUCAUCGUGAACUAGGGCUAGAUGAGGAUGGUCAUUUAGAUGCCCAGCAGCCCUAGUCGGCGAGGGCACCGCCAUCAUGGCUUGCUGCCCUCCACAUGGGGGCACCACAAUGGCACGAAUAUCAUGCAGUGCCCAAACAGUGCUGGCAGGAAGUGAUGCAAUUGGGGCGCACACACGCACCCCUUCAGGCAGCUUCUUUUUACUCCUGGGAGGAAGUGCAUUGUUGCCACGCCAUUUGGUGGCUGCGGUAACGAUGCAGGGCUAAAAGGGGCGGCAAGGAGCUGCCUGUCUGUCGAGCCCCUACAUUACUAUAUAGUACUACCAUGCCAGUGUAGCCACAGAUAUCUAAGGGCACUGGACCUCUUAUUGUAUAUUCAUGGGGAAUAACUGGAAUCAUAGAUCACCAUCAUGAAUGAGGUUCAAUGGGUUACCCACACCUGUCAGUGUAGGGUAGACAGAUACUGAGCCAGUCAAGAUUUAUAUACUAUUUAUUUAUAUGGUACUUCUAUAUUCCUGCACUUUUAUGUUGUAUUUAUUCAUUUUGUAUGUGAAUGGCUUAUGGUCUAAGCAUUAAUAAAUUACUACUACUAAUAUGUCUA